AGCAGCCGCGGUAAUUCCAGCUCCAAUAGCGUAUAUUAAAGUUGUUGCAGUUAAAAAGCUCGUAGUUGAACUUCGGGGUUCACCCAUUGGUCAGGCUUAAUUGUCUGUACUGGUGAGAUGAGUCUCUACCUUCUGAGGAACUUUCAUGCCAUUUAUUUGGUGUGGUUGGAAAUCAGGACUGUUACUUUGAAAAAUUAGAGUGUUUAAAGCAGGCUAACGUCUGAAUACAUUAGCAUGGAAUAACGAAAUAGGACGGAUUGAUUCUAUUUCGUUGGUUUCUAGGGUCACCGUAAUGAUUAAUAGGGAUAGUUGGGGGCAUUAGUAUUCAAUUGUCAGAGGUGAAAUUCUUGGAUUUAUUGAAGACUAACUACUGCGAAAGCAUUUGCCAAGGAUGUUUUCAUUAAUCAAGAACGAAAGUUAGGGGAUCGAAGACGAUCAGAUACCGUCGUAGUCUUAACCAUAAACUAUGCCGACUAGGGAUCGGACGCAGUUAAUUUUAUAAUGACGUGUUCGGCACCUU
rnacentral:rRNA from 1 species